ACGCGGCAGGAUAAGUCAGGUGCUGCGAAGGGGCGGCGGGAGACCUCAGCGCGGCAGUUGAUAGCUAUCCGUCGCUGGCGCUCUUUACUGCGGGGAUAUUUAUUUUAUACAAUUCAGGAUGUCUGCCCUCAGCUACAUCCGCCGCCGAGUGUUUGGCAAGUCUUGGUCGCUUCUUAAGCGCGUGAUUCUCCCAACCCUCGUGCUGCUCUUCGUCGUCAACGCGCUCGUCGGGAAUCGGGAAUCAGUCAAUCAGCCGGAAUAUUCCAACCUCAUCGUUCCAGGCGAAGCGCUCGACCCGAUCAUGGAUAACAAAAUAGAAUUAAAGACCCACAAACACCACGAAGCC